UGAAUAUAUCUUCUCUUCACAAUUUCAAUAGAACAAGCAAAAGGUCCGCAAACCUUUUACAAAACUGUUCUUACAACAAUGAUGAUGACCUUAUGGUGGAGCCGGACGGGAUCGAACCGACGACCCCCUGCUUGCAAAGCAGGUGCUCUCCCAGCUGAGCUACGGCCCC
rnacentral:tRNA from 1 species